GUCAUUCAGUGCCUGAUCCAAUAAAGAGUUUUUGUUGAUUAAGAGGUGAUUAUAUAGAUUAAACCUACCCAACAGAGUAAAAGAAAAGGAAAAUUGGUGAACAAGUGUUGACAUUAGCAGAAAACAUAUACAAGUUUAAAGCAAAGUGUGAAAUGGACAUUUAGAUUUUGGGAUAAACCAAUAUAGUGAGGCCCUGUUUAUAUGGUUUUCAUUUAUUCGAAAACCCCAGUUUUUGAAGGAAAACAUUGUCUCGUUUUAUUGAACAGUUAAAGUUAAAUACGUAUUGCCUUAAUUAUUAAAUUAUAUUAGCCUUAAAUGGUAAAGGAAUAAAGACUAUAAUAAUU